AACGAACGCUGGCGGCAUGCCUAACACAUGCAAGUCGAACGAGACCUUCGGGUCUAGUGGCGCACGGGUGCGUAACGCGUGGGAACCUGCCCUUAGGUUCGGAAUAACUCCCCGAAAGGGGUGCUAAUACCGGAUAAUGUCUUCGGACCAAAGAUUUAUCGCCUUUGGAUGGGCCCGCGUUGGAUUAGCUAGUUGGUAGGGUAAAAGCCUACCAAGGCGACGAUCCAUAGCUGGUCUGAGAGGAUGAUCAGCCACACUGGGACUGAGACACGGCCCAGAAUCCUACGGGAGGCAGCAGUGGGGAAUAUUGGACAAUGGGCGAAAGCCUGAUAAAGCAAUGCCGCGUGAGUGAUGAAGGCCUUAGGGUUGUAAAGCUCUUUUACCCGGGAUGAUAAUGACAGUAACGGGAGAAUAAGCUCCGGCUAACUACGUG
rnacentral:rRNA from 1 species